UAGGGUGCAAGUUCCAAUCUCUGAAGGAAGUAACAUACCUGCCCGAGGAACACUACUACAUAUAAGGCUAGAUCCGAAUGAGUUUGCUCAAUAAAACAACGCGCUUUCUUUUGAAGACCGUAUCGGAUAAAUAAGGUGGAAAGAUGGUGUGAAAGUGUAUGU
rfam:Lysinibacillus xylanilyticus strain DSM 23493 Scaffold1, whole genome shotgun sequence.